GUCUCUGCACCGUCAUUACAGCCAGGAAUGACUGUAACGACACUGCAGCAGCACUUUCUACCUAUAUAUAUUAAAGUUGUGACAUCACAAUCGCACGGAAGUCCUGGCGGCUCGUUUAAGUGCACCGUUUCUGAAUACGGGCUGUGUACAUUUCAGGGGUAUUGAGCAGA